CGGCACGGCCGCUGGUUGUCUGAGCCGGAGCCCGUUUUGGAGCUUUCGUGGAAGAGAAAUCAGCUCUGAGAGCAGGCUCCUGCUUUUAACUGCUUCCACAGCCGUGGGGACACUUCAGAGCGCCGAACCUGUUGCCAUUUCUCUCUUCGUGCGUUUGAAGAAGUUAUUGCUAGUGAAAGUGCCAAGCACUCGGGGCCUGUUUGUUUGUCUGCUUCACUCCGCGUUUUUCAAGCUUUGGUUCACUGCAUUUUUUUUCCAAUUUUCCUUAAAAAUCCAAGGGUUCCAUUUUGUCCAAGCCUGGUUGGGACUGUUUCAAAACAGCACUCCUUCGAGCCGGAUUCGAACCAGCGACCUAAGGAUUACCGCGCUCUCCCUACAGUCCUCCGCUCUACCAACUGAGCUAUCGAAGGAAGACACGAAGGUGUUCUUUUAACGCUUGUGAAAUAGCAGGUAGAUUGCGCUGAUUCGUCCGUGAGGCGGGCUGUAAGGGGAUGCUUCUGAGGCGAGUUUGAACCCACGUUGGAGAUACGUGCUUUUAAUGUGUGUGUGUUUCACGUAGGUUCUCAAAAAGAUGCUCCUAGGAAUGUGCAUGUACAAACGGGACCACCCGCCCCUCUGUGGACCCUCUGUGAAGAGGUCUUCUUAGCACCCCUUUCUUCUAUUAAAAGUGAAUGAAAAUGACAACGGUACCAAAGACAGACGACACCAUCCCAGAGCUGCUGUCUGUCUCGUGAGACACGUUCGUGGUUCUCCUUUCUGAACAAAGGAAAACCAGAGCGUAGACACGCAGGCAUGGGCUACAAAACCUGAGAGGCCUUUGACACGUAGGGAAGGAGUGGGGCAGGCUGUUUUUGCCCAGUUGUAGUGGGGCAGAUAAAUGAAGCAUUCCGUAUACGCCUCAAUCAAUAAUUUUACCCAUUUCGCUUUUAAGUAUGCUGUAAUGCCUGACUAGCCAACACUCAAGGUGCCGUUCGGUUUCCCGAUCAUAAGACAGAAAAAUAAUCGCUGUGGGGAAAAAGCAGAAGCCAUUCGGGAAUUUUUAUAGGAUAUAUGAAUUAGGAGAGGUUUGGAUAUUACAAACUGUGACAUAUAAAAACCUUCCUGGCCCGUCUACAGAGGAUCAUCAACAUUAGAGGUUUACCUGCAGUUUAUACACGUAAAGAUCGUUGUUAAUCAGUACUGUUGCUUGUAUUGUAUCUUUAUACCAUCUCUUGAUAGUAGGGUCUAAAUGUCAAAACGCACCUCCUUCGAGCCGGAUUCGAACCAGCGACCUAAGGAUAUCAGCAACCACCUACAGUCCUCCGCUCUACCAACUGAGCUAUCGAAGGGGCUUCUCCAACUGUUUAUGAUUUAUGAAUAGAUGGAUAUUUUGUUCUGUUUUCUGAUUCAUUUUUAAAGACAGGCAACCAUCAGGAAAGUCUUUUGAUAAGCUAGAAUACUGCCUUCGUCGCACUUGUCCUGCUGUGCUGUCCUGUGCUUUAGGGCCUCUUCCCUCUAUUAAAAGCGGGAGAACAUGCCGACAACAUCAGAGCCAGACAGUGCCACCCUGAAGCAAAGCUAUUGCUCAGUUCACCAGAGACACGCGCAAUUCUCUUCUCUGAAGAACAGGAGAAGUCAAGGGUGAAUGCAAACGCAUGAGACACAAAACUUGAGGGGUUUUUGAUUGGUGUUUUAGUUUGAAAUCGAUCGCCAGGUUAAAAUACUAUGGCCGAGAGCGACGUGGGGAGGACAGGGUUUCCUUAACUUACACGUCUCCAUCAUAGAGUGUUGUGAGGGAAGCCUGGGCUGACGCUCCAGCAAGGCAGAUGCCUGGAGGUGGGAACUGAAGCAGCCAGCAUGGACGGGUGCUGCUUACUGGCCUGCUCAGUGUGGUUUGCUCAGCCUGAUUUCUUAUGCAACCGAUGGCCACUUGCCAGGAAGACUUAGAGUUUAUUAAUUAUGAAAGGCUAGGAGCUGUGACUACAGAGGAAGAAGGUAGGGAGCGGAAGGCCGUAAGGAGCCGGGAGAGCCUAGGUGCACCGGAAAGCUUCUGAGAAGAAAAAACCAGAACGCAUACAUCAAGAGCAAAAACACAGCCUGCAGAUAUUUACGAGCUCUGCCUAGAUUCUCCCGCGUCACCCAUCACGGCCAUUUCAAGAGGCUCCUCUUCAGUCGUCUCCGGUAACGGGGAGGAAGGAGGGGAACAGAGACUCUUUUAUAAGCUCACACCCAUCUUUUCUCAAUCCUACCAUCCCAGCUGAAAGGACGGCACAUUUUUAGGCAUCUGUAGAAUCGUCAGAAUGGGGUGGAGUGUGUUGGGGACACAUUGUGUAAAACUGAGUGAGCUAAUAGCUUCUUGGGGGAAAAUGGUAUUCAUAAAAUUCUUCCUAAAUGUCAGGACCACAGGGGACCCCGCUGGCUGUCGAAUAUAUCUGAUUCCUGGUUAAGAAGAUAAGUAUUGAAAGUAGGGGACCCUUGCCUUUCUCCAAAUCCAACUUUGGCACAGGAGGGAGAACCUAGAGUUAUCAGAAGCAGCAAGUGGAACGCGGCAUGGGCUUCUAGGUUCAGUCUCUGCCAUUUACAUUUUAAAUACCUGCCGUCAAAACGUCCGUCCUUCGAGCCGGGUUCGAACCAGCGACCUAAGGAUUUCUCGUCGGGGCUCGUCCCACUACAGUCCUCCGCUCUACCAACUGAGCUAUCGAAGGAUACAAUAGUUCUUGAUUAGUAGUACCAUAAGGUUUCUAUUUUGCUCUGUUGCUAACAUUUUUAAGAUAAUAUUAGGCUGAGUCUAUAUAAUAAUGCUGAUAGUCCCAUGGGUAUAUAACACAAACAAAAGCCCUGUACCGUUUUCUGUCCUAGACCCUCUUCUUCUAGACAUUCUGUAGCCUGCCUGGCCCUUCUGAUUACUUCUUUUCUCCUACAUUUGUCUAGCUUUUCUAGGUAAAUGAGAUGGUCGCAUUAAGUAUGAGACAACUGAGGAAGCCAGUUGUAGGUUGUAGGCAGCAAUGGCCAGCGUAUUUUGGUGCUCCGGUGUUUCUUCCUGGAAGUGGAGGCGGUACCAUUUUACAACUGCCAAAACUUCGGUCUGAGUUUUAAGAUGUUCUUCAUCUUCAGCCACAUCUGGAAUCUGAGAGUUUGGGAAGUCACCGGAACCCCAAACUUUGUUUCUGAUGAAGCCCUCAUGCUGGGAGUGUAGUCAUGCCAGGAGAUAGAUCUGUGCCCUGGGAGCAAGCUAAUAUUUCGAUCCUGUUCCACAUCUACACUGAUCAUAGUCAUUUGAUAAGUAAGAAGAUGAUGAAUGGAGACCAGACUGGGAAGAUUCUGUCCAGCAAGGAGAAAGAAUCUAGACUGUGUUUUGACUGUCUUGCUCCGAUUUUAUCGGUGACUUCGGGGUCAUCUUCCACAACGCAGUGAAUUUCUGCCUCAAUCACCAGCUUCUGCGUACUAUUUUGGAAAAGUGAUUUUUAAACUCCUCGAAAUAGUGCCUACAGAAACCUAACGGAAGAGAAAUUAACUCCCCUCCACUCUUGGCCGUGUGGCCUCCAGCACUGAUCUAAAAAAAGAAAAAAAGCCAAAGGUCUUUGGUCACCUGGAGGCCGAGAGUGUGAAGGCUGAUGGGCACCAAGGGGUAAGACAAAGCGGAGCCUCGCGGCCUGGGCACCUGGAUUGUUUCUCUCGGCCUAAGGCUAAAUCUCCAUCUGGCGCCGUUUCUGUCUGUACACAACGUCCCAGAGUUAAGUUCUUCCCGACCCCAGCCCCGCCGUUUCCGUGACGUCUGCGCCCUGGCCCACCCGUACCCCUGUGACCCCGCAGAGCUGACAGUACUGUCUGUGUCCUGCACGUGCAGGAAGUCACCCCGGGCUGUUCCGAGACCACCAGGCCACUGUCUCACCCUUGCAGCUUCGUUUAGCUCUGUAACCCAAACUGGCGUCAAAGAGCAGGCAAUUCUCCUGCCUCAGAACUCCGUCAUCCCUUUCCCUGCGGUCCUGGGAUUACAGAGCCCCACACCCGGCCCAGGAAAAUCUUUCUUUCGUAUUGCAUUUCACCUUCCCCAUUUCAGCUUUUAGCCUCUUGUCCAGAUUUCACUGGACUUAAAAAAACAAACAAACAAACAAACAAUAACAAAACAAAAACUAUUAAACCUGUCCAGAUACAUACACACUCAAAAAAACAAAAACAAACAACAACAAAAAACCCAAACACCUGAUUGGGGCAGCAACUGCUGAGUUACAUCGAGGUAUCAGAAGGGACGCAGGGAGCCGCAGCAGGCCGGCAGAUGGGGAAUUAGCUCAAAUGGUAGAGCGCUCGCUUAGCAUGCGAGAGGUAGCGGGAUCGAUGCCCGCAUUCUCCAGUUUUGCUUCCGAGCCGCCGUUCGCUUCUUUUCCCAGGAUACACCGCGAGAGCGAGAGCCGCCGACACGGACACGCCCGAGGCCCCUCUUCGGGAAGCGCGGCUCGCACACGGGUGUGCUGAAUCCGGGCCGUUGCCGUGGUCGCUGCAGAGGACAGUUGUUUUUAAAA